GAGGAUAUAGCUCAGUGGUAGAGUGCAUGCUUAGUGUGCACAAGGUCCUGGAUUCAAUCUCUAGUACCUCCA
rnacentral:tRNA from 1 species